rnacentral:rRNA from 1 species
UACGUAGGGGGCUAGCGUUAUCCGGAAUUACUGGGCGUAAAGGGUGCGUAGGUGGUUUCUUAAGUCAGAGGUGAAAGGCUACGGCUCAAUCGUAGUAAGCCUUUGAAACUGGGAAACUUGAGUGCAGGAGAGGAGAGUGGAAUUCCUAGUGUAGCGGUGAAAUGCGUAGAUAUUAGGAGGAACACCAGUUGCGAAGGCGGCUCUCUGGACUGUAACUGACACUGAGGCACGAAAGCGUGGGGAGCAAACAGGAUUAGAUACCCCGGUAGUCCCUGAGCGGG